AAGUCGUAACAAGGUUUCCGUAGGUGAACCUGCGGAAGGAUCAUUACCGAGUGUCCCGGGCCCCGUAAAAAACGGGCUCGACCUCCCAACCCUCUGAUUACAAGACCACUGUUGCUUCGGCGGGUCGUCGGUACCCCCGCCGGGGGCUUUUAGCCCCCGAGCUACCCGCCGGAGAACCAUUUAUAAACUCUUCAAUAAAGACCAGUCUCGAAAAGGAAAACAUAAAAGUUACAAAAA
rnacentral:misc_RNA from 1 species